rnacentral:rRNA from 1 species
UACGUAUGGUGCAAGCGUUAUCCGGAUUUACUGGGCGUAAAGGGAGCGCAGGCGGCGCGCCAAGUCUGAUGUGAAACCCCGGGGCUCAACCCCGGGCAUGCAUUGGAAACUGGCGGGCUGGAGUGCCGGAGAGGUAAGCGGAAUUCCUAGUGUAGCGGUGAAAUGCGUAGAUAUUAGGAGGAGCACCAGUGGCGAAGGCGGCUUACUGGACGGCAACUGACGCUGAGGCUCGAAAGCGUGGGGAGCAAACAGG